rnacentral:tRNA from 1 species
UCCCGGAUAGCUCAGUCGGUAGAGCAACCGGCUGUUAACCGGUUUGUCCUAGGUUCAAGUCCUAGUCCGGGAGCCA